rnacentral:rRNA from 1 species
GGGCAAGGGCGGCAGGCUUACACAUGCAAGUCGAGCGCGAAAGUUCCUUCGGGAGCGAGUAGAGCGGCGGACGGGUGAGUAACGCGUGGGAAAUUGCCCAGUAGUGGGGGACAACAACCGGAAACGGUUGCUAAUACCGCAUACGCCCUACGGGGGAAAGCGGGGGAUCUUCGGACCUCGUGCUAUUGGAUAUGCCCGCGUCGGAUUAGCUUGUUGGUGAGGUAACGGCUCACCAAGGCGACGAUCCGUAGCUGGUCUGAGAGGAUGAUCAGCCACACUGGGACUGAGACACGGCCCAGACUCCUACGGGAGGCAGCAGUGGGGAAUAUUGCACAAUGGGCGCAAGCCUGAUGCAGCCAUGCCGCGUGUGUGAAGAAGGCCUUCGGGUUGUAAAGCACUUUCAGUAGGGAGGAAGGCCCUAAAGUUAAUACCUUUGGGGAUUGACGUUACCUACAGAAGAAGCACCGGCUAACUCCGUGCCAGCAGCCGCGGUAAU